rnacentral:tRNA from 1 species
AGUCGGAUUGUUUAUCGAAGGUUCGAUGAUUAUGAAUCAUUGGUAAUGAAUUAUCCUGUGAAUGUGAGUGGUUCAAAUCCAACCUCGGCAUC